GACGAACGCUGGCGGCGUGCUUAACACAUGCAAGUCGAACGGAAAGGCCCUGCUUUUGUGGGGUGCUCGAGUGGCGAAAGGGUGAGUAACACGUGAGUAACCUGCCCUUGACUUUGGGAUAACUUCAGGAAACUGGGGCUAAUACCGGAUAGGAGCUCCUGCUGCAUGGUGGGGGUUGGAAAGUUUCGGCGGUUGGGGAUGGACUCGCGGCUUAUCAGCUUGUUGGUGGGGUAGUGGCUUACCAAGGCUUUGACGGGUAGCCUGCCUGAGAGGGUGACCGGCCACAUUGGGACUGAGAUACGGCACAGACUCCUACGGGACGCAGUAAGGUAGAAUAUUGCACAAUGGGCGGAAGUCUGAUGCAGCAACGCCGCGUGCGGGAUGACGGCCUUCGGGUUGUAAACCGCUUUCGCCUGUGACGAAGCGUGAGUGACGGUAAUGGGUAAAGAAGCACCGGCUAGCUACGUG
rnacentral:rRNA from 1 species